rnacentral:rRNA from 1 species
GAUGAACGCUGGCGGCGUGCCUAAUACAUGCAAGUCGAGCGAACAGACGAGGAGCUUGCUCCUCUGACGUUAGCGGCGGACGGGUGAGUAACACGUGGAUAACCUACCUAUAAGACUGGGAUAACUUCGGGAAACCGGAGCUAAUACCGGAUAAUAUAUUGAACCGCAUGGUUCAAUAGUGAAAGACGGUUUUGCUGUCACUUAUAGAUGGAUCCGCGCCGCUUUAGCUAGUUGGUAAGGUAACGGCUUACCAAGGCAACGAUGCGUAGCCGACCUGAGAGGGUGGUCCGCCACACUGGAACUGAGACACGGUCCAGACUCCUACGGGAGGCAGCAGUAGGGAAUCUUCCGGAAUGGGCGAAAGCCUGACGGAGCAACGCCGCGUGAGUGAUGAAAGUCUUCGGAUCGUAAAACUCUGUUAUUAGGGAAGAACAAAUGUGUAAGUAACUAUGCACGUCUUGACGGUACCUAAUCAGAAAGCCACGGCUAACUACGUG